AGAAAAUCCUGCAGGUGCUUGACAACAAAUUGGGUCUUUCAUACAUUACUUACUUAAUCUCCAUAGCAAUGUUGCAAGCUGCCUCCUCCCACAUCGUUGAUAAGAGAGAUUUGUACAACUCCUGUGUGCCAGGCCCUGGUCAAAGCUGAUGGUCUCUCCUCUCCCUCACAGACUGCCUCUAAGCUCUUCAGAUUCAUGAAUUUUAACAAGUCCAUGAGCCAGCUCUCAACCAUGUCAUGAUGUGCCAAAAAAACCUGAUGUUCUUCACUGUUUCCUUGGCAUAUGCCCAGUUGGCAUUCAGUUGGAUGACUUAGGUACCUUCCAGGUAUAUGAAAGUCUGAAACAGUAGUCACAGAACAUGACGUGGAAUGAAUUCAGAAAUUGAACAUGAUUGUCAGCACAUGAAAGGUGCCUCAGGGAGAGUGCAGUGACUGACAAGUGGUGACUGUGAGAUGCACAGGGAACAGAUGGAGCAGCUGGUGCGGUGCAUGAAAGGUCAAGUGCUGGGACUGAAGGUGUCCUGUUGCAGACAGGCCAGUGUCUCAGUGUGACCAUGAGAUUCAGCAGUCAGCCUUGCCCAGGUGUCCUCUCCAGUCUCCAGUGGACCUGGAAGUUGGAGGCAGAAGUGGGGGUGCCAGGAUCCACAUGUGUUACUGUGUGGUCCUGAGUGGAUUUGCCAUAACAAGUACAUUACUUAUGUCUGGUUUAUCAUACGAUGCUGGUCUUUAUAACUAAUCAUUAACCUUCUACACUAUUUUCCAUAAGCUUUACCCAUGGAUGAAAGAUUUUUUAACUUUUCCUCACAUGAUAGAUCUAGACUUUGAAAUAUUGAACUAAGGGGAAAAAACCUGGAAAGUAUGUUGAGAAGUACGCACAAUUGCUGCCCUGCCUAACUCUUCAGGUGACAAGUAGCUUUCUAAAGCUUGGAACUGUCAAAGGACUUCUGAGUAUGCUUCCAGCCACAAGUCAGUGCUGACAUCUUAACCAGUGUGUGGAGGAGGAGAGCAUUGGUUUCCACACUGAGGCAGCUCUGUGGUGGUUGUUCCUCUCAGGUACCCUCUACUGGUAAACUUGAACUAUACUGACAGACCAUAGCACAGCUAUGUCCCCAUUGUGCUGGAGUUUGUAUGAAUAGUUAGGAUGUUAAUACUACAUUUUUUUGCCUUCUUU
rnacentral:lncRNA from 1 species